rnacentral:rRNA from 1 species
AACGAACGCUGGCGGCAUGCCUAACACAUGCAAGUCGAACGAGACCUUCGGGUCUAGUGGCGCACGGGUGCGUAACGCCUGGGAACCUGCCCUUAGGUUCGGAAUAACUCCCCGAAAGGGGUGCUAAUACCGGAUAAUGUCUUCGGACCAAAGAUUUAUCGCCUUUGGAUGGGCCCGCGUUGGAUUCGCUAGUUGGUAGGGUAAUAGCCUGCCAAGGCGACGAUCCAGAGCUGGUCUGAGAGGAUGAUCAGCCACACUGGGACUGAGACACGGCCCAGACUGCUACGGGAGGGAGCAGUGGGGAAUAUUGGACAAGGGGCGAAAGCCUGAUCCAGCAAUGCCGCGUGAGUGAUGAAGGCCUUAGGGUUGUAAAGCUCUUUUACCCGGGAUGAUAAUGACAGUACCGGGUGAAUAAGCACCGGCUAACUCCGUG